UUUGAGUAGCUGUCAAAAAAAGUCAGUCUGAAAGAACUGGAGAUCAUGCCAUCAUUCAUGGAGUUGAGCAUACUAGGGAAUGACACAGCCACCAUGAAGUAAUUUCAGAUGAGGAGGCUGUGGUCAGAGAUAUCAAGAGACUUGGAAGAGUCACCUAGCGAAUAGAAGACCCCUCUGAAAUUUGAAUACAGGACACUGCAAAAUCUUAUUCUAUAAAUGUCUACAUUCACAUUUGAACUUCAAAGUAUUAAACUUAUUUACCUCCAGGGAAUGUGUAAGAGGUCAAAUCUUCCUAAAUAUAUGGUUUUCACACAUAACACCAUCUUGAAAACAUCUGGACUUCACAGAAACCACAGGAUGCCUUUCCAGUGGAGCUAACAACCACAACAAAACACAAAGAAACAAAAAAGCAAAAACAAAACGAAAACUCCAAAAACAAAAAAACAAAACCAAACCAAAAAAAAACCCAACAAAACAAAAUACGACAUUCUCCAACAUACUAACAGCCGUCUCCAAGAUCAGAAAGCAUCAGAAAAGACCCUAAAGAGUUGCGUAAUCCCAGAGGAAGUAUCUUGCUUAGAUGGAGAAGCGCUUGCAGCAGAAACCCGGGAAAUUUCAGGGAGUGGAAUUUUAUUGUCAGAACUUUCAAUGCAAGUGCAGCCACAGAUCCUGGGAGUGUUAAAUAAAAAUUACCAACAAGCUGUCUUACCUGCGUGCACUCCAUUGAAAGGAAGGGCAAACGUGAGCUAGUUGCGGUUGUACAUCAGUCAAAACUCUGACAGCUACCCUGUGAAGUUUGACGAGCUGCCAUGUGCUCGACUACCUAAGAUACUCUUAACUGAACCAUAAAAAGACAAAUAAAUUAGUAAUUGCAUCCCU